rnacentral:rRNA from 1 species
CCUACGGGAGGCAGCAGUGGGGGAUAUUGCACAAUGGAGGAAACUCUGAUGCAGCGACGCCGCGUGAGGGAAGACGGUCUUCGGAUUGUAAACCUCUUUCCUCGGGGACGAAAAUGACGGUACUCACAGAGGAAGCUCCGGCUAACUACGUCCAAGCAGCCGCGGCAAUAGGUGGGGAGCGAGCGUUGUCCGGAAUUACUGGGGGAAAGGGGGGCGUAGGCGGGAGAGAAAGUUGAAUGUUAAAUCUACCGGCUUAACUGGUAGCUGCGUUCAAAACUUCUUGUCUUGAGUGAAGGAGAGGCAGGCGGAAUUCCUAGUGUAGCGGUGAAAUGCGUAGAUAUUAGGAGGAACACCAGUGGCGAAGGCGGCCUGCUGGGCAUUAACUGACGCUGAGGCGCGAAAGCGUGGGGAGCAAACAGGAUUAGAUACCCGAGUAGUC